GCAAGACCGUCACACAAGCGCAAGGAAGUGCACAGGCUUGAAAAGUGUUUUACUGCUGCUCCUCCACUGCAUAAUUGAAAGAAACAAAGCCUGUUCAUAUGCGACAUUCAUCAAGUACGUCUGUGAAGGGCACAUAACGAAAAGAAGUUACACAAGGGUUACACAGUCAAUCGUUUGAUUGUUUUUCAAAUAACCAUUUUUAUUCUUCACACACACAGUUAAGCAGAUUGGGCUGAAAAACGUCCAGCAGAAAAUGGGGGCAGGAGGUUCAAGUCAGAGAGAGAUGGAGCUGGAUAAAAGAGCAAUGGAACUGGACAGGAGAGCAAUGGAACUGGAUAAAAAACAGAUGGAACAGACAAGAGCUCCUAACUGUUGCGGUUGCUGCUUCAUUCAAAUUGCAUCACAGAAGAGCGAUGAAUCAACUACCAUGAUCGAUUCACAACUUAGUAGCAACCAAAAUAAAUCAACUGAAACUAGGGUAGGUGUGACGAUCAAGCCAUUCCCUCUCAUGUAAAAACACACACCUGAAGCUGAUCAAACGUCAACACCAGCACUAUAAGUAAAGCACCCCAGUCAUUGUAUGGCCUUGUUUGAUGUGCCAGACCUCUCACAUGCUACUUUCCUCCUUAAUGUUCCUGUUUAUCGCAAAUUGCUACUUCAGUUACUUCAUCUAAGUUGAUCUUGAUUUUCUCAGUUAUCUUAAAGCCUGCAAGUACUCCUAGUUGUCUUCUAAGUAUCCCCUGCCUUAGCUUGUUUUCCUUGUGUGUGUGCUCAAAUGUAUCCAGAAAUGUUUAUUCUCAACAUCUAAGAUUUCAAUAUUUGUAAUUUACCUGUUUAUGAAAUGUGUUCCUAUUAAAACAUCUAGUAAACCAACCUGUGUAAGUUGAUCUUGUUUCUGGUUGUCGUGACAGCAGGCAAUGUUUUUCGUAAACACGUUGUUAUACUGGUUAAAACUUGCUUCAUCUGAUUAGAUUAAC